GAUGAACGCUGGCGGCGUGCCUAAUACAUGCAAGUCGAGCGAACGGACGAGAAGCUUGCUUCUCUGAUGGUAGCGGCGGACGGGUGAGUAACACGUGGAUAACCUACCUAUAAGACUGGGAUAACUUCGGGAAACCGGAGCUAAUACCGGAUAAUAUUUUGAACCGCAUGGUUCAAAAGUGAAAGACGGUCUUGCUGUCACUUAUAGAUGGAUCCGCGCUGCAUUAGCUAGUUGGUAAGGUAACGGCUUACCAAGGCAACGAUGCAUAGCCGACCUGAGAGGGUGAUCGGCCACACUGGAACUGAGACACGGUCCAGACUCCUACGGGAGGCAGCAGUAGGGAAUCUUCCGCAAUGGGCGAAAGCCUGACGGAGCAACGCCGCGUGAGUGAUGAAGGUCUUCGGAUCGUAAAACUCUGUUAUUAGGGAAGAACAUAUGUGUAAGUAACUGUGCACAUCUUGACGGUACCUAAUCAGAAAGCCACGGCUAACUACGUG
rnacentral:rRNA from 1 species